rnacentral:rRNA from 1 species
CACGUAGGGUGCGAGCGUUGUCCGGAAUUAUUGGGCGUAAAGAGCUCGUAGGCGGUGUGUCGCGUCGGCCGUGAAAACCUGCAGCUUAACUGUGGGCUUGCGGUCGAUACGGGCAUCACUGGAGUUCGGCAGGGGAGACUGGAAUUCCUGGUGUAGCGGUGAAAUGCGCAGAUAUCAGGAGGAACACCGGUGGCGAAGGCGGGUCUCUGGGCCAUAACUGACGCUGAGGAGCGAAAGCGUGGGGAGCGAACAGG